UUUAGAAGGCAGUCAGACACCUGCUGGAGGAGGGGAAGGUGUGGCUGGGGUGGUGGCCAUCUGCCGAGGUCCUGGACUCGAUACCGAGCACCCAGAGGAAUACCACGGUGGCUUUUUGCCAAAUAGGGUCUCACAGCCAUCUGUAACUCCAGUCCCAGGGGAUCUGAUGUCCUCUUCUGACCUCUGUGGGCGCCAGGCAGGCUUCUGAAUGCAGAUAUCUAGUAUGGAACAGGGAGUUGUCAAAAGAUGCAGGGACGCAGGCCGGGAACAGCUCUCAGCUCAGCUUUCACUAGGUUGCAGCGCUCCCGGCGUUGGAGGAAAGGUAGGAUCCGGGCUUCGCCACCUGCCGGUCAUUCGCCCUACACCCACACUCCGGCCACGGCUGCUCUGGCCUGGUCCCAAAAAUGUGAGCGCCUCCGGGUCCUCCCGCCGCGACUGCCGAGACCGGGGCAGCGCCUGCGGCCGGG